rnacentral:rRNA from 1 species
UACGUAGGGGGCAAGCGUUGUCCGGAUUUAUUGGGCGUAAAGAGCGUGUAGGCGGUCCGGUAAGUCCGUUGUGAAAGUCCAGGGCUCAACCCUGGAAUGCCGAUGGAUACUGCGGAGCUAGAGUCCGGAAGAGGCGAGUGGAAUUCCUGGUGUAGCGGUGAAAUGCGCAGAUAUCAGGAGGAACACCAAUGGCGAAGGCAGCUCGCUGGGACGGUACUGACGCUGAGACGCGAAAGCGUGGGGAGCAAACAGG